rnacentral:misc_RNA from 1 species
GCAGAAAUCAGGUACUUAUAGCUCAUUCUAUAGUCAAUCAGAUCACAGAACAGAUAAGGAAAAACAAGUGUGUGUGUGUUUGUUUGUUUGCGAGAGAGAGAGAGAAAGACUGACGCUGAAGCAGAGAGUCGGUGCCGGGGCUCAACGAUACCAGGUGAGGAUCCUCUCAUGUUCUUUGGACAAUCAGUAGCGACUUGAGGAAGUAGCAGCUGAGUACUUAAUUUUUAUAGAAACUAUUUUUUUGAAAGAGAAACCGCUAUUUCAAGAAACCCAUAUAAAGAAAGAUUGCGAAAGAGACCAGAGAGUAAUCCAAGAGGCUGAUUUGGAAAUUGAUUAAUUGUAUUUUCAAGAGUUAAGAGAGAGAGGGGCUCAAC